GGGUGUUUAGCUCAGUGGGAGAGCAAUGGCCUUACAAGCCAUAGGUCGUAGGUUCAAGUCCUACAACACCCACCA
rnacentral:tRNA from 1 species